AAUGAUUACUAUAACACACUCAGAUUUAAUAAUUACUUCUAACAAGGUUAAAGUUCGUGCAUUCGGUCCGUCAUGAGCAAAACAGCAAGUUUGAUGACCUUGAAACACUGCCCGAAGGCCCUAUUUUCUCUAUCCAACCUGCACUCCUUGUAAAAUAAGUAAGUGCAUUUCUUUCUGCCUCUAGAUGCGUUCAAGCGGCAUGGCUUGAAUUUUUCGUUUUGGGUUGAAGAGUUACAUCUAAUGCUUCAUUUCAGGUUGCAAACCACCCAAAAGAUAAUCCAAAAAAAUGUUCUUUUGGGUAAAGGAUGAACAUGCGAUGGGAGCAAUUCAAGUUAUUCUGUAAAUUCUUCACACAAGCCUGUUGUUUCAAUUCAGCCAGUUUUCAGAAAGUGUUUUCAUAUAAUUGCACCCCAAACCAUAUCACCAUUUCCCCUUCAGCUUCUAGAAUCCCAUAUUUAGCCCAUUUGUAUCUAAUUUAGUUUCACUUCUCCACUAGAAUUUGAACUUCAACAAAUUCCUACCCUUAGUAAUCCACCCAAUAGGGUCAUCUCCGUCAAAGGAUGGCAGUUCCACUAUAACUGCAAUUUGAUACUCAUCCAUGCCAUGGUUGCUUGAACAUGGUCCUUUCCCUUCUUAGUGUGACGAACUGCCUUGUUCAUACUCACACUUAUGGCUCACCCAUUAGUUUUCUUAACUACAACAUAAUCUUCUCAGAAUUUUCCUUCACCUGCCGCAUAUGCACGUAUCCCUUUUGCAAAUUUCUUGUCCAGGACCUCAGGAACUCUAGAGAUGUUAUCUGGCCAAAAAUCACCAAACCUAACAACUUUUUGCCCUCCUCCCCCUCCCAAGAAAAAAAAAUAGAAAACAGAUAAACAAAUACAAACAAAACUACAUAUAUUCUCUGCAGAAACUAUCAAAUGUAAAUUAUAAAAACUAAGUCCUAACAAUCCAGUUUUUAAAACUGGUGUAAAUAGUAAAGCUAAGGCUAAGGCCUAUAUUUCCUAGAAUAGGCUUUCCAAAUAAUUGGUCUCUCUGGGUGGUCCGAGGUUCCAUAUCAGCAUGUAUCGUAUUUGGUUGAUUGGAUUGACAACAUGAUUCCAUUUUUCAGAGGUACAUGGUUAGUGCUCUCAACAUAUUGGUACUAAACACUGCGUUUUAUGCUUUCUUUUUGGGCAAUGAUUGGCUAUCAAUUGGAUACUCGUGUAUGGCUCACACCCACUUAUUUUGAAGUUAACAUUUUUUACAUCCAUUAUAUGUAUAACUCUGAUCAGCAUUACCAACUUGUUUGCAUGGAUUUUAAUCUCCAAUAAAAUACAGGUUGUAACGGAUGCUGAUGUUGAUCUAAAGAUCAUUGCUCGAGGAACACCUGGGUUCUCUGGUGCUGAUCUUGCAAACUUGAUUAACAUGGCUGCUAUCAGGGCUGCAAUGAAUGAUUCUAAAGCUGUGACAAUGGCUGAUUUAGAGCAUUCAAGAGAGAAGAUACUGAUGGGCAGUGAAUUGAAGUCAACUGUUGUAUCUGAGGCGACACGAAAGCUCACUGCUUUCCAUGAGGGUGGUCGUGCCCUUGUUGCCAUUUAUACUGAUGGGGCCGACCCUGUUCACAAAGCAACUAUAGUUCCCACCGCUACGUCUCUUGGCAGGGUUAGGCAAUUGCCCGAUGAUGAUAAGCAGAGCGUUUCCCGUAAAGAAAUUCUUGCCUGGAUAGAUGUUUGCAUGGCAGGCUGGGCAGCUGAAGAGCUAAUUUUCGGAGAAGUCUCUUCUACUGUAUCCUUUGAGCUCAAACAAGCAACUAGGGCGGCAAGGAUGAUGGUUACCAAAUAUGGCAUGGGCAAUGAAGUUGGACCAGUCACUCACGAAUACAAUGAUAAAGGGAGGAGCAUGAGCUCAGAGACAAGGCUUCUCAUUGAGAAAGAGGUGAAGCAACUCGUGGAGAGAGGUUACAACAAUGCAAAAACCAUUCUGACCACUCACAGCAAGGAGCAUCAUGCACUUGCAAAUGCUCUUUUGGAGCACGAGACUCUCACAGGAACUCAGAUAAAGACAUUGCUUGCCGAAGUUAGAGCUCAGAUGGAGCAGCAGCAGCAGCAUCUACAAACAGUUGAAGCUCAGAGCAGUUCACAAUCCAGCACGGUGCCUCCAUCAUCCAGCUGCUAGGGCUAAAAGUGCUCCAGUGGGAUCUUAGCAGAACAAGAUGCUGGAGCAGCAAACAUAACUAGUACUAGUUGAUUGAAAAUGUUCUUAUAGUAAUUUUUACAGGUUUUUCACACGGAGGAGCUCAGCUCAUGAACCUCAGAUUCUAGGUGACAUAAAAGUAUAUGCACUUACUUUUCUCUUUCUUUGUAGGGUACGAUGAAAAAAAAAAUAAGAGAUUAUCAGGUACCUCCUACUGAAUCUGGUACUCUCUCACGUGGUCUUUAUCAAAGACUAUAAAUUAUAACACAUUAUUACCUUGCUCAAUUCUUUGUUCUCUUCACCUUCCUCUGAAUGCCCUGUAAAGACACUUUGCAUUAUGCUUUUCUAAAUUUAAGUAAUUCAUUAUUAUAUUAAACUUAUGCAUGUAAAAAGUUGUUCUGCUACUACUUAUCUCUUAAUAUUCUGUUUUCCUAAAGCUAAAAUAAAGUUUUACUGUUAAUUUUCAAGAAAGAUCAAUUUGGUUUCAUGACAAUAAAUUGCAAGGCUUAUUUGUUGGAUCAUAGAUUUUGGUCAUUUGUGGAUUUGUUUGAACAAAUAUGGAAGGAACUUUUAAGACAGAAAUAUAAGGGGAAAAAGUAUAUCAACUUCUUUACCAGUUAAAACAAUAUAUUUCAAAACAUGAAGAUAUUUGUAUAGUUGUAAAUAUAUUUGGUAGUUUGAGCAAAAUUUUCAUAUAAAGGAUCAAACAAAAUGGAUAUAUAGAUUUAAAAAGUAAAAGAGGUGAAAAAAAAAUGUAAAUAAUCUUCUGACAUUUUUUUCUUGACUUAGUCAAUUUGAUUCAUGAAUUUUUUUUUUCAUUAACACUUUUGAGUUGACAUUAAAAAUGAAAGAAUUUAAAUCCUCCAAAACUUAAUAUUAAAUUUUCCUUUCAUAAAUACUAAUGAGUUUUGGAAAGUUUUUUGAAAUGUAAAAGAAUUAAUAUAUUGUUUUUUUUUUAGACAUAUGAAAUUUAAAGUUUUAAAUAUUUUAUGUGAAGUCAAUUCUCAUCAUUUAAUAUAUUUUUUUAUAUGAAUUCAAUAUUAAUAAAGUCAGAUCAUCUUUUUUAAAAUUUAAAUUUAAUACAUAAUUUAAAUAUUAUAACAUAGUACAUCCUUCCUAAAAAUAAACAUAAUUUAAUACUCUUUUUCUUUUACAUUUCAUUCAUUUAUCUCUUAUCACAUUUAAUAACAUUUACAUUUGAAUAAAUAAAAAUUCAUAUAUUAUUAUUCAUGUACAUGUAAUCCAUUCAUCAUUUAUCAUUUUUAAUAACAUUCAUAUUUUAACAUCCCAUUUUAAUAAUAUAAAACUUCAACUACUAAAAUGUUACAUUACAUAUAUAAUAAUAGAAUCAUUUCAAAAUUGACUUUUGAUGCACUUGUGACUUGUUCUAUUGAUCAAAGGAGUUCUCUAAACAUUAUAAUUGAUGGGAAAACACAUUUAUAAGUAGAAGUAAGCAUCCAUUUGAUCAUUAGACUCAAGAUUGGUGCAUUAAACCAUUUUUUACACUCCAAAAGCACCUAAGCUCAAAUUUUCACCUUCAACACCAAAUUUCUAGCACCUAACUAUUUGAGCAAGUCCAAUUAACUCAAAAACAGAUUACAAAUAAUCAUCUCUCGCUGGAACGACUAAAAAGAACGUCUUUAUAAGCUCACACCAUUUAGGUGAUCAUUGUAAAAGAGAAAGCAACACAAAGACAAACAACACAAAAAAUCAAGGGUAAGCUAGUGGUAAAACAAUUUAUCAUAAUAAAAUAGCAUUACAACAUGUUUUACACUUCACAUAAUAUAAACAUUCAUCAUAAAUAUGUAACAAACUUAGACUUGACCAUCUAGAUACACAACGAAUGUCGACCUAUAAUAUGUUCUGGCCUUUUUGUGGUGGAACACUUGACAACCAUCAAACCUACCACACAAGGUUAGUCCUUUAACAUGCCCUUUGCCAGAUGGAGAAAGGCGCCCAAGCUAGGACCAUGGUGGGUUAUGCACUUAUGUGGUAGAACAACUGACAACCAUCAAAGCUACCACACAAGGUUAGUUUGUACCACGUCUUAGGCCAUAAUGGAAGCACCUACUCUAAGACCUCCUGCUACUCUCACAACAUGAUUCAUCACUCUCUCUACAUGAGCAUGAAUGGUCAUUAGAUUGUCAAGAUAACCCAUCAGAACUCAGCUUCUUACAUUCAUACUUACAAUACUUGAAAACCACCAUUGAGAAGUUCCUCCUUGGAACUUUUUUCCAUACCUUUGAAACCAUUGAGAUCACUUCACAUUCACAUAGUACACCAAUACAUGAGACUAUUGAUCAUACAUUAAAGAAAUGGAAAUAUUCAUAUAAGUUAUCAGAAAUCACCCAAUAACAUAAUUUCUUCAUAGCAUCUUGAUAAUCACAUUAGGCAAGGAAAAUGGUUUUGAAAUCCUGACCAACAGUACCAGAAGGGUCUAAAACCCCCUCAAAAUUAUCUCAAAAACAGACAUCCAAAACCCUGAAAACCCUUAAAACUGGUGCAGUAGCACUUAUUACUAAGAAAAUUAUAAGUUAAAUUUAAUUAGUAAUUUUGUCUAUGUAUUUAGGUCAUAAUUUUAUAAAAAUACUUAUUAUGCCUCUUGUGUUAGGUACACUUUAAUAUAAAUUAAAAAUAUCAUAUGUUAAAAUCUAGAUUAUUUUUUAUUUUGAAACCUAUAAUUUUAAGUAUAUAAUUUUGAGAAGUGUCAUCUUUUUUAUAAAAAGAUAAUUCAUUUUUGAUAUAUGACAAAUCAAUAUGGAUGUGUGACACUUUUAAACAGUAUUAACUUCAAUAUAGAAUAUCACGUUGAAUUUUUCU
rnacentral:lncRNA from 1 species